rnacentral:pre_miRNA from 1 species
UUUUCAUUUCACGUACUCUCUCAUCUGCCAGAGAGGCGAGAGAGCACGCGAAAUGAGGAGA